AGAAUGCUAGCCUGAGAGCAAGGUCCUCAGCCCGAGGCUCAGCCUGUUCUCCAGGACUGGGAGGGCCAAAGCCUCUUGCCAGAGCCUCAGCCAAGAAUCCUCUCAUUUCCCCACAGGUCUCACCAGUGGCAGCCUGGGGUAGAGGGAAGAAUGGGGAAUGUAGACCCCAAGUCACUGUGUGGGGGAACUCAGUUUCCCCAUUUUAAGACCGGCAAGUUGGACCAGAUCCAGAUAGAUGCCCCAAAGGCGGCUUCCAGAUGUGAGUCUAUGGUUCUCUGAAGACAGGAAGCCUUCUCCAGGAUGUGAUGGAGACACCACCGGCUUUCUCCCAACAGCAGUGUGGGAAAUCUUACAAGUGGGGUCACAGGUCACAGAUGGGCACCAGGGAAGAGGGGCCAGGGAAGUGGGAGAGGGGUUAUUUCCAAAGCCCCUGCUGGCCGGGCCUUCACUCACCUCUAGCCUGGCCACGGCAAAUGGUGUGGCCCCCACCAUGUGCUGAGGGGUGACCCCGCUGACCCGGGUUCUGUAAUCGGUGAUCUCUCCCUCAGGCCGGAUGAACUUGUCGUACAGCACAGCACCGUGGACGUUCACGAGGCUGCAACGAGCCAGGCCACUCUCCCGGUGGGG
rnacentral:lncRNA from 1 species